rnacentral:ribozyme from 1 species
AAAGAAAGAAAGAAAGAAACAAACAAAGAAAGAGACUGUCCAAGGAGAGCUCGGGACAUACGCUCGUUCGUUGCCUUGUCAGACUGAUUUUUCGUAUUCCUGCUUAUUUGCGUGUGUGUUUUGUCUU